UAGGAGCAUUUUCAGCUGGAAUGGGAGCAGUUCCUUGGGUAGUGAUGUCUGAGGUAUGAUAACAUUAACUCAAUCAUUACAUGUAAAUCGAAAUUUUUUCUUACUUUUUAAUUGCACAUUCUCCAAAAAAAAAUACUACUCAAUAAUACACAUUUUCCUCAAAUUGGGGCUCAAAAAAUGGCUUAGUCUAACAAUCGUAUUUCUUGUAGAUAUUUCCUAUAAACAUUAAAGGAGUUGCAGGAAGCUUUGCAACACUUGUGAACUGGUUUGGCACGUGAGCAGGUUCCUACAUUUUUCUUAUGAGCUGGAGCUUGUAUGGUAAGUAAAAUGAAUCGAUAUUGCUAUAUGGUUCAAAACGCAAUAAAUAAAAGUCUCUUUACAUCUAUGCAGAACAUGUCAUAACCAUCUAAUAUUUGUAAUAUGAUUAUAGGAACGUUCAUUCUUUAUGCUGCAGUCAAUGCACUUGCCAUUCUGUUCGUGAUCAAAGUAGUACCAGAAACAAAAGGAAGAACUCUGGAACAAAUACAAGCAGCGAGAAAUGCCUCGUAAAAAAUACUCUAUUUAUGAUGUAAAUAAUCACAUGGGCAACGUAUAUAGUAAAGAUUGAUCUCAUAUGUUUGUAAUCACAUGGUCAAUGUAUGUAUACUCUAUUCAUUGACAAAUUAGCCAAAAGCUUAAUUCAUACAGAGUCAUUAAUACAACACAAUUUAGUCAUGAGUUGAUUCCUUGGCGGGUUCUAUUCCCAUGUAAUGACAGA
rnacentral:lncRNA from 1 species